GUGUCAGCAGCCGCGGUAAUACGUAGGUGGCAAGCGUUGUCCGGAAUUAUUGGGCGUAAAGCGCGCGCAGGCGGUCUUUUAAGUCUGAUGUGAAAGCCCACGGCUCAACCGUGGAAGGUCAUUGGAAACUGGAAGACUUGAGUGCAGAAGAGAAGAGCGGAAUUCCACGUGUAGCGGUGAAAUGCGUAGAGAUGUGGAGGAACACCAGUGGCGAAGGCGGCUCUUUGGUCUGUAACUGACGCUGAGGCGCGAAAGCGUGGGGAGCAAACAGGAUUAGAUACCCUGGUAGUCC
rnacentral:rRNA from 1 species